rnacentral:lncRNA from 1 species
CAAGUAAAACAAAGAGCUUCAUUGGCCCAAGGGUGUGCAAGAGAACUGACAAAAUGAAGAUUCAAAAAGACUUUAAUGGCAACUUUGUUAGAAUGUGUUGUGAUUCUUUUGAAAGAAAGAAACUCAUUUGGAUACAUGAAAAAGAAACAAAAAAAAAGAUAUGAAGGAAAUUUUUUAAAAUAUGAAGGAGCAAAAACAGCUGAAACAAGUCAAAUAAGUCUUAGGUUAAACAAAAUAACUGUGCAGUACAAAAUUGGAGUUUUAAUGGACUAUAAUAAAUGAGAGUUGGUGGUAUCACUACUUGGGUCACCAGAGAUAGAGAAAGAAACUGAUUUUUAUUGAACACUCCUAAUGUGCCAACCAUUGUGGGUCUCGCUCUGAAAAUAGCAUGAUGAUGGCUCAGUGCAGCCCCAACCCUCUGGACUCAAGCGACCCUCCCAUCCCAGCCUCCUGAGUAUCUGGGCCCACAGGCACAUGCCACCACAUCCGGGCUGUACAGGAAGCAUGGCUCAGGAGGCCUAAGGACACUUACAACCAUGGCAGAGGGCAAAAAAGAAGAAGAGGGAGCCUUGCCUUGUCAUACCAAGGCUGAAGUGCAGUGGUGCAAUCUCAGCUCACUGCAACCUGCACCUCCUGGGUUCAAGCAAUCCUACCACCUCAGCCUCCCAAGUAGCUGGGAUUAUAAGUGUAUGCCACCAUGCCUGGCUAAUUUUUGUGUUUUUAGUGAAGAUGAUGUUUCACCAUGUUGUCCAGGUUGUUCUUGAACUCCUGACCUCAAAUGAUCCACCCUCCUGAUCCAGCUUACAGAUGUGAGCUACUGUGCCUGGCCCCUUCUACAUUUUUUUUAGAGAUGAGGUCUUUUUGUAUUGACCAGGCUGAGGUGCACGGAUGUAUUAACACUACAGCCUCUUAACUCCUGGCCUUGAGUGAUCCUCCUGCCUCAGCCUCCAGAGUAGCUGGGACUACAGGUCCUAUGCCCAGCAUCCUUCUGCAUUUAUAUUGCAUUUGUCCUUCUGCACCUUACAAAUUUUUUUACUGUACUUUAGUGGAAACUCAUGAAACAGCAGAGAUAAGUUCAUAUGUUCAAUCUGCCUUGUCUAAGGGGAACUUUAUAGCACGUUCUAUAUUGAGAAAUAAUAUGGUCAAAAGCUGAUAACUCUAAGGGUGUGAGAAUAAGAAGCCCACUUUGUAACAGAAACAUGAAAUUUAAAAAUUCUAUAAUAGACAAGCCAUAUAUAUGACUAUUCACUGCUCUGUGAACAAGCGAAAGGUCUGUUGCUAUAGAAAACUGGAUUAUGUGAAUUUUCAAAUACUUGAAAUUACAGGGAAGUCAAUAAAUCAACAUAAGAUAUAAGGGCUUGUCUAGUAAUUUGUGGACGCAGGAUGUAUUGAGUGUAUUUUAUGAAAAUUGCCUUUAGAGAUUAAUUGGCCUCAUUUGGGAGCCUUAAGAAGCAUGCUAUUUAGCGACUCAUUGGAACAGCUCCAGAUUGGA